AACGCACGAGACCUGCGGACCUGCGGAGGGAUCAUUAAAGAGUUUAACUACUCAAACCAUUGUGAACCUUACCUCAACCGUUGCUUCGGCGGGCGGGCCCGGGCCAAGCCCGGCGCCCCCCCGGCCCCUCGCGGGCGCCCGCCGGAGGUUAACCGAACCCUUGAAUUGUAUGGCCUCUCUGAGUCUUCUGUACUGAAUAAGUCAAAACUUUUAACAACGGAUCUCUAGAUCGGAAGAGCA
rnacentral:misc_RNA from 1 species